GAUGAACGCUGGCGGCGUGCCUAAUACAUGCAAGUCGAGCGAACAGACGAGGAGCUUGCUCCUCUGACGUUAGCGGCGGACGGGUGAGUAACACGUGGAGAACCUACCUAUAAGACUGGGAUAACCUCGGGAAACCGGUGCCAAUACCGGAUAAUAUAUUGAACCGCAUGGUUCAAUAGUGAAAGACGGCUUUGCUGUCACUUAUAGAUGGAUCCGUGCCGCAUUAGCUAGUUGGUAAGGUAACGGCUUACCAAGGCAACGAUGCGUAGCCGACCUGAGAGGGUGAUCGGCCACACUGGAACUGAGACACGGUCCAGACUCCUACGGGAGGCAGCAGUAGGGAAUCUUCCGCAAUGGGCGAAAGCCUGACGGAGCAACGCCGCGUGAGUGAUGAAGGUCUUCGGAUCGUAAAACUCUGUUAUUAGGGAAGAACAAAUGUGUAAGUAACUAUGCACGUCUUGACGGUACCUAAUCAGAAAGCCACGGCUAACUACGUG
rnacentral:rRNA from 1 species